UUUCCCACUGCUUGGACCUAACUAAAAUGAAUAGCAAAUCUCUAUGGCUGCAUCCUAUUUUUUACACUUUUCUUUGAUUCAAAUAUUUUGUCGUCCUUCUUUGGUGAGUAUUAGAUGACUUAUUAAUGCUUUAUUACAAUUUUUUUGUUCACAGCAACAGCCGAGCAUCUUUCCAUCCUAUAUGUGCAAGGGAGGCAGGGAAUAGGCUAGAAAUCUGGGGAAAACAUGGGUGUGACACUGUUGAACUGCGAGCUUUCUGCUCGAAGCAUUCAGAUAUUCAAGAUAGUGGAAGGCCUAUAAAUGGUGGAAAUAUUAAUGCAGCUGAUCCCCCUGUAUGUCAUCUUCCAACAGAAUCUAUAAGAGCUCGCCUAAUUAAUUAAUGAUGAGACGAGAGUUGAAGUAGGAGCACAAGGGAGGACUGAGAGGAGCACCGAUAAUGAAAAAACUCGAUCCGAGUUUCUUAGUUUUGUACUGAUUCUGAAAAAGUUGAUCAACCUGGGGAAAGUAGAUGUGAAGAAUGUGGCUGCAGAGAUUUGGGGUCAAUCCUGAUGCUUUGAAUGCCAAACUUAUGACCGAACUGGACCACAACCAAACGCAUGGCUCCAUCCUACUGCCACACAGUCAGCUGCAGCGUUUCUGCAUCUCCCUGUCGAGGAUGAGAUAUGGGGAAGGAAUGGUGGUGGUCAAAGAAGUGAUGGAAGAUGUGAUUUGGUUCCGUGGGCCAACAAAUUUGUCACUAUCGCAUCUAUGCACUGCAAACUCCUUAUGUGAAAAGACUAGAAGUGACGCAGCUUCUUAUAUGAGAAGCCUACCAAUUGGCAGCCAAAACCAACAUGGAGGUGUUGUGAGAGGUGGUUACUUAAGGCAAAGGCCAAGCUGGUGAUGGCCAAGGGAAUAAAGGUGGUCCAACUAGAGAUUGUGGUGCCUAAAAUUGGGAUUGAAAAAUGGAAUAAAAAGCUCUGACAUGGUAUUAGGAAGAUCAUGUAGAUAACAAUAGCUGAAGGUUUCUACAGUUGUGGAUCAUCAGAGUCUAGAGUCUGCAACGAGUGUACGAUAGCUGAAGACGGACCGGUUGUUUUCAUAUGCAAGGAAGAUGGGAAUGUUCAAUCUCCAUCAGUAGCUUAACUCUCUUCACAUUCAAGAUGGUGUGGUUACAGUUCUCUGUUAUCUCGACUCUGACUGAGUUGUUAGUUGUUUAUCUAAUGAAUAAGCAAACCAAA